CAGCAGCCGCGGUAACACGUAGGGUGCGAGCGUUAAUCGGAAUUACUGGGCGUAAAGCGUGCGCAGGCGGUUGUGUAAGACAGGUGUGAAAUCCCCGGGCUUAACCUGGGAACUGCGCUUGUGACUGCACAGCUAGAGUAUGGCAGAGGGGGGUGGAAUUCCACGUGUAGCAGUGAAAUGCGUAGAGAUGUGGAGGAACACCGAUGGCGAAGGCAGCCCCCUGGGCCAAUACUGACGCUCAUGCACGAAAGCGUGGGGAGCAAACAGGAUUAGAUACCCCCGUAGUCCCUGUCUCUUAUAC
rnacentral:rRNA from 1 species